rnacentral:rRNA from 1 species
AAUAUUGGACAGUGGGGGCAACGCUGAUCCAGCCAGGCCGCGUGCGUGAAGAAGGUCUUCGGAUUGUAAAGCACUUUAAGUUGGGAGGAAGGGCUUGAGGUUAAUACCCUGAAGUUUUGACGUUACCCACAGAAUAAGUACCGGCUAACUCUGUGCCAGCAGCCGCGGUAAUACAGAGGGUGCAAGCGUUAAUCGGAAUUACUGGGCGUAAAGCGAGCGUAGGUGGUUCAGUAAGAUGGGUGUGAAAUCCCCGGGCUUAACAUGGGAACUGCUUUCAUAACUGCUGAGCCAGAGUACGGUAGAGGGUAGUGGAAUUUCCUGUGUAGCGGUGAAAUGCGUAGAUAUAGGAAGGAACACCAGUGGCGAAGGCGACUACCUGGACUGAUACUGACACUGAGGUGCGAAAGCGUGGGGAGCAAAC